rnacentral:tRNA from 1 species
UGGGGAUUGGCUCAGGGGUAAAGCGCUUGUCUAACUUGCAUGAGGCUCUGGGUUCAGUCCCCAGAACCACAA